AUGGCUGCAACUUGGCUUUGUAACAUCGUAGUGAAGACCCCAAUCAACAAGGGUCAUCUUGAUCUCUGCAGCAUGAGUGUCCAGUGUAGUCCUGGUCCUGGAAGAGCUUCAGUAGAUACAGAGAAGAGCAAUAAAGAUGAUCAAAGAAAAUCUGCUUUUUAUGGACGACUGAAAGUUUGAGAGCAUGAAUGACACUGACAGGGAGCAUGUGGAAAAAUGAUGAGCUUAAGUCUUCCACAGACAUCUAGGGCUACAGAAGUAACUGUACCAAACGAGAACCACAGAUCCAGCUAGCUCAGCUCCCCGUCUCUGAUAGUAACCAAGAAUGGAUCCAGGGAAGUACAUAUGAACAUGGUAUAUGAACUGGUACUUUUUUAGUGAGCUCAUACAGUCUACAGCCUACAGGCAUCCUUGGCAUGGGAACUUCCUGAGGAAAAAUAUGACGUGCUUCCGUCUUACAACAGAGUGCAAACUGAGAGUAAUUGCAUUGAAAUUUUGUGGAGUUAUAUCCAUAUACAACCAAUAGGUAUUUCUCUUUUUCUGUGGAACCAUGCAAAACACUUGAUUUAAAUAUCUUCCAGUCCUUGUACAUUUCAUAUUGUAUUUAAAAAUAGGAUUUAUUUUUUAAGAAAAUGCCAGUUUUCUU
rnacentral:lncRNA from 1 species